rnacentral:rRNA from 1 species
GACGAACGCUGGCGGUGUGCUUAACACAUGCAAGUCGAACGGUAAGGCCCUUUCGGGGGUACACGAGUGGCGAACGGGUGAGUAACACGUGAGUAACCUGCCCUCAUCUCUGGGAUAACAGUCGGAAACGGUUGCUAAUACUGGAUAUGAGCCUGCAAGGCAUCUUGUGGGUUGGAAAGAUUUUUUGGUUGGGGAUGGACUCGCGGCCUAUCAGCUUGUUGGUGAGGUAGUGGCUCACCAAGGCGUCGACGGGUAGCCGGCCUGAGAGGGCGACCGGCCACAUUGGGACUGAGAUACGGCCCAAACUCCUACGGGAGGCAGCAGUGGGGAAUAUUGCACAAUGGACGGAAGUCUGAUGCAGCAACGCCGCGUGCGGGAUGACGGCCUUCGGGUUGUAAACCGCUUGCAAUUGUGACGAAGCUUUUUGUGACGGUAGCAGUAGAAGAAGCACCGGCUAACUACGUG